AAUUUAAUUGUUGUAUAUUUAUCCAUGGAAACUUGAAACACAAAACAAUUAUUUCAUUCUACUUAUUUUUUCCUUACACAAGUUGAUUUAUUCUGUUAGUAUGAUAAAAUAAAUUUACGUUUCAUCUUGUUCUACAAAUAGGUGCAGACCUGUACGAGAUCUUUGUGAGAGUAAUUAAGAAUUCAACACACCAAAACUUCAGGAAAAGGCAUCCACCGAACCAACUUAUAUCCCAUGGCAAUCAACAAAAACCCCAAUUCAAGAGUUUUACAUUUCAUACGAGAGAUACUUAAAUCUCAUAGUACUGCUAUUAAAGACCAAGAUGAUCUUCACAUGACUAACCUUUGUAAAUCCUGCAAAGAUGCGGUGUUAGGACAUAGCGGCAGAGACUUCACUUACGACACAUCACAAGAAGAACUGUUUGUACAUACCGGUGAACACUCUUCAUCUCUGCAGGAGGACAUGAAAUUCAUUGUAUGCGAAUAGGGCCUAAGCCGACUUCUCUCCGCUGCUGGAAUAAUACCGGAUGGAUGUCUCGCCACCUAAGCUUUUUACUCUGAGAAUACAGCCUGUCUCGGUUACGUGUCAACUCUGCUACUCUUUCCCCUCAGUUCCUGGCUCUCUAACUGGCAUCUGACAGCGGCAUCCGAUACGGCCGAAUUAUACGGACGCAGACUGCUGAGAGUUCAGAGGUCACUGAUUAAAUUAAUCUCUAUUCUCCGUCUCUUACUAGUGUUUCUCCUCGCCACAGCAAUCAAGCGCCAAGGAACGAACGGUCAAGGACGCCAAACCUCCUAUGCCGACAUAUUCUUAUCAAACUUCAUUUUACUUUAUGUGUCGUUUUAGAGCUUCCUUGUCUUAAGACUACUUGUUACGAGACGCAUCAAAUGUAAUGUGGUACAAAAACCCCUUUGAAGAAUUAAUUUUAUAUAAUUAAUAUAAUAUAAAUAGAUUUUGGUCACUGUAAACCUAUCUAUAUUAUUAAAGUCAGUACACUAUUUUUGUGUAAAAUAUUGUUACGUAAAAGAUAUAUAAGCAAACAUAGUUUAAGUAGAUUUCAUAGAAAUAAGCCUGUUUCAACCACACUCAUUACGAAAUUUCUAGGAGAUGUUUUUUCAUGUUAAUUUUCUCUAAUCAUGCAAUACAAUGAUAAUUGCCAUAAUUUGUAAUAGCUUC